rnacentral:rRNA from 1 species
UACGUAGGGGGCGAGCGUUGUCCGGAAUCAUUGGGCGUAAAGAGCGUGUAGGCGGACUGGAAGGUCUGGUGUGAAAGCCCGGGGCUCAACCCCGGAGGGUCACUGGAAACCAACAGUCUUGAAUCUGGAAGAGGAGAGUGGAAUUCCUGGUGUAGCGGUGGAAUGCGCAGAUAUCAGGAGGAACACCAAUGGCGAAGGCAGCUCUUUGGUACAUGAUUGACGCUGAGGAGCGAAAGCGUGGGGAGCGAACAGG